UGAUAAACAGUAAUCUCAGUCUAAAUCCCUUAGGAUUAGGGCCUAAAAUCAUUCGUAGGCAAUAGAGAUUCCUAUUAGUCUGUUAUCCACUCUGAUAGGAUUGGAUGAGGUCUAAAAUAUUUUGUUUUCAAAUAUUUCCUGAAUAUCUCAGAUGUUACAGUUUUGGGGCAUUUUCAACUGCUCUAUUUUGCCCAUAUUUUUGGGGAAGUGCAGAAGUUAUGUAGUCUGUUAAAACACAGGAUGAAUUAUAUGGA